rnacentral:rRNA from 1 species
UACGUAGGGUGCAAGCGUUAUUCGGAAUCACUGGGCGUAAAGGGCGCGCAGGCGGUUUUGUAAGUCUAAAGUGAAAUCCUUGGGCUUUACCCAAGGGCUGCUUUAGAUAAUGCAAAACUCGAGUUCGGGAAAAGCAAGCGGAAUUCCUGGUGAAGGGGUGAAAUCCGUAGAUAUCAGGAAGAACACCAGUGGCGAAAGCUGCUUGCUAGAACGCAACUGACGCUUAGGCGCGAAAGCGUGGGGAGCAAACAGG